UACGAAGGGUGCAAACGUUGCUCGGAAUUAUUGGGCGUAAAGCGCACGUAGGCAGCUUUGCAAGUCGGAUGUGAAAUCCCUCGGCUCAACCAAGGAAGUGCAUCCGAAACUGCAGAGCUUGAGUACUUAAGAGGAUCGCGGAAUUCCCGGUGUAGAGGUGAAAUUCGUAGAUAUUCGGAAGAACACCAGUGGCGAAGGCGACUUACUGGACACAUAUUGACGCUGAGGUGCGAAAGCGUGGGGAGCAAACAGG
rnacentral:rRNA from 1 species